AGAGUUUGAUCCUGGCUCAGAUUGAACGCUGGCGGCAUGCCUUACACAUGCAAGUCGAACGGUAACAGGUUAAGCUGACGAGUGGCGAACGGGUGAGUAAUGUAUCGGAACGUGCCCAGUCGUGGGGGAUAACUGCUCGAAAGAGCAGCUAAUACCGCAUACGACCUGAGGGUGAAAGCGGGGGAUCGCAAGACCUCGCGCGAUUGGAGCGGCCGAUAUCAGAUUAGGUAGUUGGUGAGGUAAAGGCUCACCAAGCCGACGAUCUGUAGCUGGUCUGAGAGGACGACCAGCCACACUGGGACUGAGACACGGCCCAGACUCCUACGGGAGGCAGCAGAAGGG
rnacentral:rRNA from 1 species